rnacentral:rRNA from 1 species
UACGAAGGGGGCUAGCGUUGCUCGGAAUCACUGGGCGUAAAGCGCACGUAGGCGGCUUCUUAAGUCAGGGGUGAAAUCCUGGAGCUCAACUCCAGAACUGCCUUUGAUACUGAGGAGCUUGAGUCCGGGAGAGGUGAGUGGAACUGCGAGUGUAGAGGUGAAAUUCGUAGAUAUUCGCAGGAACACCAGUGGCGAAGGCGGCUCACUGGCCCGGUACUGACGCUGAGGUGCGAAAGCGUGGGGAGCAAACAGG